rnacentral:snRNA from 1 species
GCGCGCUUCGGGAGCCCGUAAUACUAUAAAUUAGUACAAUACAGAAAAAAAUAGUAUAGCCCCUAGGACAAGGACGACACAGGCGUUCAUGAAUAAUUACCAAAUUCA